AAUUUAAGAUUUUAUUACUGAAGGACAGACCAUAUAUACGCUAAUGCAGAUGCUCUUAUGCUCUUGCUCUGGUUUCCCUGUUUUUGUUUUUAUUUCUUUUUGAAUCGAUGUUUGUUUGAUUUUUGUCAAAUCCUCCUUUACUCUGAUUCUGCUUCCUUCGUGAGUUUCCCCUUUGUAAGUGCGAUUAGUAUUGGUUUUUUGCAAGGUGAUUCGGAGCUUGUAAUCGAAGGAUCUUAAGGCCGUAUCGGCGAACUGUGGGUUACAGGUCUCCGUCUCGAAUCUCGGAGUGGUGUCUUGGUGCGUCUAUGCUGGAUUUCGCAAGUCAUUCGCUGUGGUGGCUCAGCCAUGUCCAGCGAUGGUCGCGUUGCAAGGGUGGCGGUUAGGGUUUGUCGAAAUUCUUAGAUCUGUUCACGGUUCAGUUCCCAAGCAUUUCUUCUUCGGGUUUUUUUUAUUUUCUUGCUUAUCCGCCAACCAUCUUUAUUAUGCUCCAGGUAUGUGUCACAGACUCACAGUUUCAGUCUAUUGGUACUUCUAGUUAGAAAUAGUCGUCCUCGAAGCUGAUUAAUUUGUGUUUCCUAUGAUACAUAUAACUAGCUAGAUGAAUUUGUUUGAUAAGAAAUUAGGUGUAUUUUGUUUUACUCUCUCUUUGUUACAUUUACGAAAAGGUGGCGGCAUACAUGGACGGAAAGAAGCUACGCAUCUUUUUACAUGCUGCUCAACUGCCCCAAACUGUUAGACAGCUUUGAUUCUCUCCAUGUGGGAAGGAACUCCUCAGAUACCGAAAACGACAGUGAAGGAAAUCUCUUUGCUUUGGAAGCAUUUGGUUUUGAGGCUGGUUUUGUGUGCGGAUUUGUGGUUAUUUGUUCAAGUUGAGGCUCAUGUUGGAGAUAAAUUUGCAGGAUGGUCUCUAGGAGCCAACAUUUUUUUUAACUAUUUGGGUCAGAUAAUGGAUGCAAAAGGAUAGAACUCAUUAGCAUUGUUUCCAGCUAACUUUUGUGAGAGCAUGUGGAUCAGACGAGUUAUACAGGAAAGGAAAAGUCACAAGAGUUUGGUAGCAAAGUUACAUCUACUGUCUGUAAAGUUCUCUUCUUUGAGCAAGUCCGUCUCCUUCAAAAGUCUCCGGAAUGGUAUAUAUAUAAGCUUCUGAGGAUAUGCUUGAAGAUGAUGUAGCUUCAAACAAAGCAAUAGGACCCUUUGGUUCGAGCCUGUUGAGAACUUGAUCAGUUUAGGACAUGACUUUGUGUUUUGUUUAUGGCUUUGUUUGAUGGUUACAUCUUCUCUUCUAGAGUUCAUGCUUGUGAUGUGUUCACUUUGUAUGAUUUGGAUCUUUUAUGGAAAAGCAUUGGUAUUUUAUGAUUUU